rnacentral:rRNA from 1 species
AUUGAACGCUGGCGGCAGGCUUAACACAUGCAAGUCGAGCGGGGUGAUGGUGCUUGCACUAUCACUUAGCGGCGGACGGGUGAGUAAUGCUUAGGAAUCUGCCUAUUAGUGGGGGACAACAUCUCGAAAGGGAUGCUAAUACCGCAUACGUCCUACGGGAGAAAGCAGGGGAUCACUUGUGACCUUGCGCUAAUAGAUGUGCCUAAGUCGGAUUAGCGAGUUGGUGGGGUAAAGGCCUACCAAGGCGACGAUCUGUAGCGGGUCUGAGAGGAUGAUCCGCAACACUGGGACUGAGACACGGCCCAGACUCCUACGGGAGGCAGCAGUGGGGAAUAUUGGACAAUGGGGGGAACCCUGAUCCAGCCAUGCCGCGUGUGUGAAGAAGGCCUUAUGGUUGUAAAGCACUUUAAGCGAGGAGGAGGCUCUUUUGGUUAAUACCCAAGAUGAGUGGACGUUACUCGCAGAAUAAGCACCGGCUAACUCUGUGCCAGCCGCCGCCGUAA